UACGUAGGGUGCAAGCGUUGUCCGGAAUUAUUGGGCGUAAAGAGCUCGUAGGCGGUCUGUCACGUCGGCUGUGAAAACCCGAGGCUCAACCUCGGGCCUGCAGUCGAUACGGGCAGACUAGAGUUCGGCAGGGGAGACUGGAAUUCCUGGUGUAGCGGUGAAAUGCGCAGAUAUCAGGAGGGAACACCCGGUGGGCGAAAGGCGG
rnacentral:rRNA from 1 species